rnacentral:rRNA from 1 species
ACGGAGGAUCCAAGCGUUAUCCGGAUUUAUUGGGUUUAAAGGGUGCGUAGGCGGAAUGAUAAGUCAGUGGUGAAAUCCUUCGGCUCAACUGAAGAACUGCCAUUGAUACUGUCAAUCUUGAGUACAUUUGAAGUGGACGGAAUGUAUCAUGUAGCGGUGAAAUGCUUAGAUAUGAUACAGAACACCGAUUGUGAAGACAGUUCACUAAACUGUAACUGACGCUGAGGCGCGAAAGCGUGGGGAGCAAACAG